rnacentral:rRNA from 1 species
ACACGACUACAUUAGAUACCCGGUAGUCCCAGCUGUAAACUAUGUGCGUUAGGUGUGUCAGCGACCACGUGUCACUGAGGUGCCGAAGGGAAACCGUGAAACGCACCGCCUGGGAGUACGGUCGCAAGGCUGAAACUUAAAGGAAUUUGGCGGGGGAGCACCACAACGGGUGGAGCUUGCGGUUUAAUUGGAUUCAACGCCGGAAAUCUUACCGGGACCGACAGCAACAUGAAGGCCAGGCUGAAGACUUUGCCGGAUUAGCUG